rnacentral:rRNA from 1 species
GACGAACGCUGGCGGCGUGCCUAAUACAUGCAAGUUGAGCGCUGAAGGUUGGUACUUGUACCAACUGGAUGAGCAGCGAACGGGUGAGUAACGCGUGGGGAAUCUGCCUUUGAGCGGGGGACAACAUUUGGAAACGAAUGCUAAUACCGCAUAAAAACUUUAAACACAAGUUUUAAGUUUGAAAGAUGCAAUUGCAUCACUCAAAGAUUAUCCCGCGUUGUAUUAGCUAGUUGGUGAGGUAAAGGCUCACCAAGGCGAUGAUACAUAGCCGACCUGAGAGGGAGAUCGGCCACAUUGGGACUGAGACACGGCCCAAACUCCUACGGGAGGCAGCAGUAGGGAAUCUUCGGCAAUGGACGAAAGUCUGACCGAGCAACGCCGCGUGAGUGAAGAAGGUUUUCGGAUCGUAAAACUCUGUUGGUAGAGAAGAACGUUGGUGAGAGUGGAAAGCUCAUCAAGUGACGGUAACUACCCAGAAAGGGACGGCUAACUACGUG